GCGCAGCAGUCGCGAAUCCUCCGCAAUGCGGGAAACCGUGACGGGGUUACCCCGAGUGCCACCCGAUGAGGGUGGCUUUUCCCCGGUCUAAAAAGCCGGGGGAAUAAGCGGGGGGCAAGUCUGGUGUCAGCCGCCGCGGUAAUACCAGCCCCGCGAGUGGUCCGGACGAUUAUUGGGCCUAAAGCGUCCGUAGCCGGCCCGGCAAGUCCCUCUUUAAAGCCCACGGCUCAACCGUGGGACCGGAGGGAUACUGCCGGGCUAGGGGGCGGGAGAGGCCGGGGGUACUUCCGGGGUAGGGGCGAAAUCCUGUAAUCCCGGAAGGACCGCCAGUGGCGAAGGCGCCCGGCUGGAACGCGCCCGACGGUGAGGGACGAAAGCUGGGGGAGCAAAAGGGAUUAGAUACCCGCGUAGU
rnacentral:rRNA from 1 species